ensembl:lncRNA MIR663AHG MIR663A host gene
GGUGGGCUUGGGCUGGUGACGCGUGCGCCGGCCGGCCGCCGAGGGGCUACCGUUCUGCCUCCGACCGAAAUACUAGGCUUUAGAAUUUCACCAUAUGAAUUUUGGGAGAGAGGAGCACAGUUCAGCCCAUAACUAACACACGACGGAAUGAAGUUGAUAAUAGUGAGACCUUGUUGGUACAAGACUAUGUAACAUAACCUGCGCUUCUCAACAAAGAAUUGCUUUUCUGACUUCUGCACUCAAUAGCAAGACAAAUCUCUCCUCUGCCUUCUCCUUAUCAGACUACUCAACAUGAAGGCAAUAAGAAUGAAGACCUCUAUGUAUAAUAAUUGACUUCCACUUAAUAAAUAUCCCCACUUUUGUUCCUAGAGCAACACGCUGUCCUGGAUAGCUAACGUGUUUAUGAAUGCAAGGAAAUUUUCAAAAAGGGAGUUUGAAAUUUAACUCCACAAACUACUAUCUGGAUUGGAAUGCUACAUUAAAUGUAUUAUAAUUUUGUAUGGACAUAUAAGGAUGGGGAAUGAAAAGCAUCCAAGGCCAUAUGUUGAUAAUCUUUUGAUAUGUUAAGAAAUAAUCUAGUGUUAUUUUCUAUUUCUUCUCAAAUGUUUUUAGAGGUUACUUGGUACACUGGUCGACAAAACCUUGAAAUGUUGAUGUUUAAGGGCUGUUGAUUGCUGGCAGCAAAGAAGUCCAACUGUGCUGGUACCCGAGAUAGCGUCUCCACAUUUUCUUCCAGGAUCAUCACCUUUGUUCUAAAUAGCUCCCACAUAGUGUGAACAGAAGUCAUAUGUUUUAGAUUUUCUGCCUUGGCACCCAGGAAACCAGUAUGAUUGAGUAAACAUAUUAAACUUCCUCUGCAUUUCCAGCCUGAACAGAUGUUGAGUACAAGCUGAUCCACCUACGUUCAACCUGAGAGAGUCCACAUCCACAGACUGUUUCAUUUCCCUUUUUCAAUUUACAUAGAAGCAUAGAUUCUUGCUGGCAUAUACAAAUGCGCCAUUUAAGGCAAUCAAAAAUGGUUCCACAUCUCAUCUGAUUUCCACAAUUGUUGCUGUAACGAUGGACUACUGAGGAGAGAGACAAUUUCUCUGGCACAUCUUCCCACAUUUUAGCAACAUGUUCAUGGAGAGCCAAUAUUCAGUAAUUACAGCCCAAUUCCUCACAAUUUCACAAUUCGCUAACAAUAUGCAUUUUCACAAUGUAAAGCUGAUUUUCCUUUAACCAAAUCAAACAUGAAAAGAUAGCUGCAUGCAAUGGGCAAUCUAGAUCAUUAGAAGAUUGAUGUAAAAUUAGAGGACACUGAGACUGGAAUAGAUUGCAAACUUCAGGGAGCUCAGAAAACUUGUAAACUCUACAUUUUGAGGAAAUAUGUUGUCGAUGCUUUUGCAACUCUAUGCAGUAACUUAACAAAUAAAGCCUUAAAGUAACU